CAGCCGCCGCGGUAAUACGAAGGGUGCAAGCGUUACUCGGAAUUACUGGGCGUAAAGCGUGCGUAGGUGGUGGUUUAAGUCCGUUGUGAAGCCCUGGGCUCAACCUGGGAAUUGCAGUGGAUACUGGAUCACUAGAGUGUGGUAGAGGAUAGUGGAAUUUCCGGUGUAGCAGUGAAAUGCGUAGAGAUCGGAAGGAACAUCUGUGGCGAAGGCGACUAUCUGGGCCAACACUGACACUGAGGCACGAAAGCGUGGGGAGCAAACAGGAUUAGAUACCCGUGUAGUCCCUGUCUCUUAUACC
rnacentral:rRNA from 1 species